rnacentral:snoRNA from 1 species
UAGCACUGUUGCCUGAGCCAUUGGUGCUCCCUGGCACUAGCUGGGUUUGAAUGCAGUGCAAUUGGAAUUCCUUAUUUCCACAAGGACUUGGUCUGCUGUAGGCUGUUCCUCCUCACACCUUGGCCUCUGA